CAGAAGAAAUAGAAUUCAUGAUAAAAGGUCUUUCAAGUAUAUACAAAGGUGUUAUCCUUAAUUUAAUGUCUGGGAUAGAUUUAUCAUGCAACAAUCUCAUCGGCGAUAUCCCACAUGAAAUAGGAACUUUAGAUGGACUUCAUGCAUUAAAUUUGUCACACAAUCAGCUGACUGGAUCCAUCCCAAAAACCUUCUCCAACCUGAAACAAAUAGAAAGCCUUGACCUGUCCUACAACAGAUUGACUGGGGGAAUCCCUUCAGAAUUGACUACUACACUCAACUUUUUGGCGGUCUUUAGCGUGGCACACAACAACUUAUCUGGCAAGACGCCAGAGAUGAAGGGACAAUUUGCAACGUUCGGCAGCACCAGUUAUGAGGGAAAUCCCUACCUUUGUGUUCAGCUUUCAUGGAA